ensembl:lncRNA
GAGUAAUACUUCUUUGAGAUGUCCUGCUCUGGAAGUGGACAGGAUUCUCUGAGGCCAUGUACAUACAGAAGUUACUAGCUGAGUACCGUGAGAAUUACCUGGCCUGAACAACUGUAUGUGGUAGCUCAGCUAGUCCAUUAGAGUCUAAACUCAACCACUAUUACCCAGAGGAAUUUACCCAUUUACCCAUGAUGAAUCCAUUUCUCUCUUGUGGAAUGAUACAUAGCUGCAUGUGAAUAGAUUAAAUUGACAUGGAUGACUCAUAGCAUCAGGGGUUGGGAUUCUUCUCUUCCCUUUUCUGCCAUUUCUACAGUGAGCUCAGACAGAGGAUUCAAGCCACAUCCAUGUACAUUGGCAGCAGAAUGGAUGGAGGAGAGAGGAGGCCAUGCUGCCAUUCUGGUUAGGAUUUAGUUCAGUUGCCCUGUCUGAUUCUAAGAGAAUGUUUUCCUAGGAACUAUGAUCCCACUAUGGAAUAAAAGGAGGAAUGGCUGACUUGGAGAGGAAUAGCUAGCAGUGCCUGGCAGGGGUGAGAAGAGCCUCUUCCACAGGGAGAGAUGUUCAUAUGGGGUUGUGUCCUGGUAAACUCAUAGCAAGUCAAAGGUAGAUUUUUUAAAGUACUUUUUUUAUUUAAAUUAGAGAAAAAGCUUGUUUUACAUGUCUAUCCUAGUUCCCUUUCCCUCCCCUCCUCCACUGACCCCCAAUGACCCCCUAUCCCAUCCCCGUUCUGCUCCCCAGGGAGGGUGAGGCCUUCCAUGGGGGAUAUUCAAAGUCUCUCACAUCAUUUGGAGCAGGACCUAGACCUUCCAUUUGUGUACUAGGGAUAAAUACUGAUCCACUGCCAGAGGCCCCAUAGAUUAUCAAAGGUAUUUAAAGGAGAAAAUUGCUACCCUGCCUGGGGAGUAGAUGGGGAGUGGGAUGGGGAGUUGGUUGGGGAGGGAGAGGGAACUGGUGUAUGUAUGUAAAAUAAGAUUGUUUUUAAUUUAAAUGAAUUUAAUUUAAAUAAAUAAAAAAGCUGAAAGACAGAGUCUUGCACCUGGCUAUCCAUAGUAACCACCAAGAAAAUAAUUCAUUUUUAUUCAAGCCACUUCUUAGUGCUGUGUUUCACAAAUCAUCACUGUAGUCAGGAAAAAUUGUAGCAGAAAUUACAAUAGAUAUUUGGUGUAAUUUGUUGGAUAAACUAGAUGGCUGGUCAACAAAUGUAAAUAUAUGAGAAUAGUUCCUGGGCUACAGAGAUCACUGAGCAGUUAAAGGACUUGCUGUGGAAGUAUCAGGACUGAAAAGGGAUUUGGAUCCCCAGUACUUAGUAAAUACCAGGCCAGUGUGGUGGAACACUAUAAUCCCAAUUCUGGGAGGCUGCUCUGUGGAUCCCUGGAUCAGCUAAGCCAUAGUACUUGAAUUAGCCAACUUGCCUUCAGGAGGGAGACUUUAAAACAUAAGGCGGAUAGUGAUGGGAGAAGAAACUGACAUUGACCUCUGAUCUUCUAUGGAUAAGCAUGUGCAUCCACAUACACGUGGGCAAACACACAUGCAAUAACAUGCAUGCAAAAAUGUGCACAACAUAUACAAAAAAUUACUUCUGUGAACUUAUGUAUGUUGACUAUAGUAUAGCUUUGUCAGAUAUUCUAAUUUGUCCACAUUUUUAACAGUUAUCUCAUGUUGAGACUAGAAACAAGAGAUAUUCAGUGGGCAGUCUUUGUCUUUUUCUAACAAGUUGCUUUUGGUGGAGCUAUCAUUAGAUCUAUGAAUUACACUGAUCCCUUCUAAAGGUGACAUCCCAAAUGAUGUCAUUCCUUUCCUCGAGGGUCCAGCUUCCUUCAUAUAAGCACAUGAGCUGUUGGAGGACACAUUCAACCUAUUCAUAGUCAUCUUCACAGAAAUAAAAAAAAUGGUGAAAUUCCUAUGAGACUAUAAAAAUUAUGAAAUUCUAUGAAAAAUAGAAAGAACCACAUUUUCUUAUUUUGAAUUAUAUUAUAAAAUUAUAAUAUUGAAAAUGGCAUGGUACUUAAUAAAAACAGACACACAGAACAAUGAAAAAUGUGGAAAUGACAGAAGUAAGCUUAUUUACACACAAUGAAGUAAUCUUUUGGCAAGUACAUGAAAAAAUACACUAGGAGAAAAGGAGAGUUUCUUCAGUAAAUGGUGUUAGAAAACUAACCGCAUGCAGAAGAAAUGAGGUUGGAUAUUUAUGCUGCACACAAGAUCCACUAAAAGGGUAUCAAUGACUUAAAUAUAGCACCAGAAACUGUAAAGACAUCUAGAGGAAAACAGGAAAAAUGCUCUGUGACAUUGUUCUUUUCAUCAGGCUCUUCUGUCAGACUCUCUUUGGAUUGACAGCCAGCAAAUAAUGACCCAGAGACUUAUUGUUAAUUAUGAAAGCUUGGCGUUUACUUAGGCUUUUCCCCAACUAGUUAUUAUAAUUAACCCAUUUUUUUAAAAUCCACGUUCUGCCACGUGAUUUGGUUACCUCUUAGUACAGCAUAUCCUACUUGCUGGCAGUAUCUCUGGCCUAGAUUCCUCCUCCUCCUUUCUCUCUUUCUGCCCAGAAGUCCUGCCUAUUCUCUCCUGCCUAGAUAUUGGCCUGUUAGCUCUUUGUUAAACCAAUCAGAAAGUGCCUUCCGCAAAGACAUAUCUCUACAGUAUAAACAAAUAUUCUGAAACAGUUCUUGGAAAGGAUUGUUUUGGGGUUAAAAAGAUAGUAGUGAACAAAAACCUGGUAAAAGAUUGAUAUUUAAAAUAUCUAAUGUACUGAUAUAAUUCAUAUUUUAAAAUGGUAAUCUAAAUGAAAAUAGGCAAAAAUCUUUUAUAGACAUUUUUCCAAGGAAGCCAUAGAAAUUGACAAUAGAGGAGGAAAAGUAUUCCUUCACAAUAUAUCAUGGAAUGAAGUCAUAAUGAUGACAUCAUUUCACACUUGUCAAGAUGAUCACUAUAAAGACACCAAAAAGAGGACAUGGGGCCUGACGAGAUGGUUCCGCAGUUAUGAGCACUGUUGCUCUUGAAGAGGACCUUGGUUCAGUUUCCAGCAUCCACAUGGUAGCUCACAACUCUCUACAACUCCAAUUUCAGUGGCUCCAAUGCCCUUUUCCAAUAGCCACUGGCACCAGGCAAGCACAUGGUGCACAUACAUACAUACAUGCAGGCAAAACACUCAUCUACACCAAGUAAGAUAAAAUAAUCUAAAAUAAUUUUGGAAGAAAACGUAGAAAAAUGGAACAUUUCACACAUAUUAUGAAAAUACCAAUUUGUGGAUCCAUCAUGAAAACAGUAUUGAGUUUCUUCAAAAACAACACUGCCAUAUUGCUCAAAAAUUCCACUUUCAGGCAUAUGCUUUCCAAAAAUGAAAUCAGAUGCCAAAGAGGCAACCAUACAUCAAUAUUUAUGACAAGAUAAAGAACAAAUGUUUCAAGUGAUAAAUAGAUGAAUGAAGAGGUAUCCAUACAUCUGCACAUAUAUCCAUGUAAAUGGAGUUCUUAAUUGGUCUAGAUAAUAAAAACCCAGAGUCAGAUAUAGAGGAAAAUGCUAAGAGAUCAGAAAGAAGAAAGAGCAAGCCACAGCCACAUUUUACCUCCUUGGUGUCUCCUCAGACAAGAUAGCAAGUUCCUGUUUCUCCCUGCUUACAUCUUAUUUCCACCCAGCUUCCUCACUUCCUGUCUGUCUGUACAGACCUCCAGACUCUAUGGUUAGCUAAUGACAAGCUCCAUUCUAUGACCUUCAGACAGUCUUUAUUUAUACAUGCAAGAUAUCACCAUAUAUACACAUUUAUAAGUCAUGCCACUUACAGUGACACAGAUGAACCUGCAGAAUUUUACACCAGCUGAAACUGGCCAGAUAUAGGAAAGCAAAUGUGCCAUGAUCUUCUAUGCAUGAAGUCUACAGAAAUUGAAUUCAGAGAAGCAGAGAGGUAAAGGGUUGUUAUCUAGAGUCAUGGGGCAAGAGAAAUAGUCAAGGGGUACAGAAUCUUAACUGUUUAAGGAGUGUGUUCCAGAAGCCUAAUUAGAGCAUGGUAAUGAUAGCUAGCAAGACUGCAUGCUGAAAUUUGCUGAGAUCUUACACAGAUGAGCAUAUUAACUGGUUUGAUUGUGAUAAUAACCUAAUAACCUAUAUCAAAGCAUAGGUUUAUUUUGAAUAUCUAAAAAUUUUAUUUGCCAAUUAAUCUUCAAUAAAGGAAAGCGGAGAAAAUGAGAGAGAGAGAGAGAGAGAGAGAGAGAGAGAGAGAGAGAGAGAGAGAGAGCUUGAAAAUAGUAAGAACUAAGAACCAAGAGCAGCACACACUGGUUGCUGUUCCUUUCCAGGGCUGGGGAAAGGGGAAGAACCAAAGAAAGCCAGAUAAUUUCCCUCCCAUCCUGUUUCAUGUUCCCUGAGCUUGGGAACAAACAUGGAAGCUUCAGAGAGAGAAAAAGCCUUGACUAGAGCAUGAUGUUGUCCUUGUAAACUAGGUAAAGACAGGUUUUAAAAGUUAAAAGUAUGCAAAGAGUUCCGGAGUCUACUUAAGAUCAAGGAUGCCUAAUAAUCUCUUGGUGAGGUUGGGGCAUGCAAGAAGUUAGUUCAGUCAUUUCCAGGUUCUCACUGGGUAGAGUUUGUCAAAUAACCUGCUUUUAAGCAACAUCAUCUUAUAUGCAUCUUUGUUCUUUCCUACUCCUCCCACAGCUUCUGUCUCCAGGUUAAUACUCUCCUCUUUUAGUUUCUGCAUUUGAAAUGCAUACUUUCAGUCUUGAUGAGACAUCUCUGUGUAUUUCAAGAAAGAGUGUCUAAUUAUAAGUAACUUUCUGGCUUUUUCCCCAGGUCAAUGCUUUCUUAAAAUCUGUUUUUUUUUUUUUUUUUUUACUUCUUUCUUCCCUCUAAAAAUAUAAUUAUAUUUCCCAGAGUGUAUUGAGUCUUUUUUUUUAAUUUACACCAUAAUGUGUCAGUCUCUAUUUAUAAUGAUUGGGAAACUGUUCCUUUAGUUCUGGGAAUAUAGUCUCCAGGAUAUAAAAUCCUGGAAAGCCUAUUGCUUAAGACUGUCCAUGAGAAAUGCAGAGUUAGCAGUGUUACUACUGAAGACUCCCUUAGAGAAAUAUAACCUCGAAUGCUUCUUGGCUGCUAUAGUGCUGGCCUCUUCACUGCAAGGAUUUUGUUGGCUGCCAGAGUGGGAGCUCAAAUAAGGCAGAUCUGCUGGUAAGAAAGGCUGAGGUUAUAUGAGCUUAAGAGAGGGAACUGGACCGAGGUGGGAUAUCUUCCUGUCCUUGUCUCAUCAGAAAUGAUCAUGUUUUGUUGUCUUCUCUAUCUUAAACUUCUCUCUCUGGGUGUCUCUGUCUGUGUCUGUCUGUCUGUCUAAGUUUCUCUCAGUCUCUCCCUCUCUCUCUCUCUCUCUCUCUCUCUCUCUCUCUCUCUCUCUCUCUCUCUGUCUCUCUCUCCCUCUCUCUCUCUCUGCUUCUUCUCCUUUCCAAACCUCUGUGGAACAUACUAUCCUCUUGGAGAUAAAGAUGUUUACUGAUAAAGAAAAAAGAUGGGGACUAAUAAAAGGAGAGAAUGAAUGAGGGGAAUAAAACAACUCCCUGUUCUUUGUUUUCCCAUCACUUGUCCCUGGAUCACUUAAAUUCUGGGUUGUGCUCUGGCAUUUCUUAGGUAGGUGUCACCCCACAAUUUAGUUUUAUUUGAUUUGCUUAAUGUUUUAAGAUCUUAAAGUCCUGGAUCAAGCGCUCCGAUUAUUGCCAGCUUGCACUAUGAAGCUUACCACACUCUUCAUGGUUCUCUGUUUUACUUCUCUUCCUUCUUUCUUCUUUUAUAUAAACCUUGUGGCCUCAGCUAGGUAUUGGAGUUUGUAGCCCUUCUUAAGGCAGAAAGUAUGUUGUAUUCCUAUAUCGUCAUCCCUAUAUCUAACAAAUGUCACAGGGAAUAGAGUAUUCUCAAUUGGUAUAGCCUUUCUUCACACAGGCACAGAGGGGGGGGGCGGAGGGAGGGAGGGUGGUAGGGAGGGAGGGAGAGAGGGAGGGAGGGAGGGAGGGAGAGAGCAAAAAUAGAAGUGAUUCCAAAGACUCUGUAUGAUGCCAUUCUAUAAACUGAGGUUCUGACUAAGUAAGAGGGAAAAGGAAGAAAGCCAGUCCCCAAUAGCAGUUUCUCUUUAUGCUUCAAAACAACCAAAAGAGGUGACAGCUAAUCCUCACCACAAACUUCUGCAGUCAUAAUGUGAUGACUGCAUGGGUCUAAAUUCCCAUAGACAGACCCCUCAGAAACUGUGAGCCUAAAGGAAACUAUUGAUUGUUUUUAUCAGAUGCACUGCUGCAGUGAUGAGAAAAGUAAUUACUAUUGUGUGCAAAACAGGAGGAGGAGAAGGACAGGAGGCAGAACACAUAUCCACUGUAAGAAUCCAGGGGCCACACUUAAGAAGUAUGUUUAGAAUUGGACAUCAUAUUAUUAAAGACCUGCUUAAGGGAACUUACAGUCCUUGCUUUUGUGUCUAUGGAUUCAAGUUCACUGAUAUUUUCCAGGAUAGUUCUCAUGUGACAGCUGAAUUGUUUUCCCGGGGUUGAGACAUCAUGGCCUUGGUAAGGGCUGCAGGCAGGGAUAGAUUGGCAGGGGCCUCAGGGGGUGUUUGCCAAUGAUGUGCCUGGGUUUGAUACAAGAAUGGUAGCUGGAGGGAGAGUCCUCAAGUAGGGGGAAGAUGGAUUAGGUAGGAGGAAGCAACCAAUGGAAGGAUUUCCCUUCCCCUCUACCAGUCCUAGGACUUUCUAUCACAUCCUGCUCCAACCGAGUAAGAAACUCAUUGUUGUUAGUUCUGCAUCCUUCUCAACCUAGGAAGUGAUAUAUUAAAAAAAUGAGAAUUACAGCAAAUAUAAUUCACACUCUACUUAUAUACUUCCCCCCUUGUCAUUUCUAUGUACAUCAACCUGCCUGCACACUGAAGCUCAGUAAAUUCUUGCCUAGGGCACUCCUAGUUCUUUUCCCUGUGGAAUUAAAACUACAGCCUAGAUAGCUUUCCCACAGGGCAGUAGUAGUGCAGGAUUAACACCCCUUGGAGAAGCUAUUAACCAAGUACACAAAUGCUUUAGGAUACCCCUCCACCCCAAGCAGCAUCCCUGAGUCAUCAUCCCCUAUGGACUGUGUGGCUGGUCCCUGUAGUAAAAAGCCACCUUCCCUCCUUUCCCUGUCGCCAAGCUUUAUCAAUGUUUGGUUGACCUCACCUCAUCUCCAGAUUUUCUGCUGUGGGAAUCCAGAAUGAGCCAGGCAUCUUGUGCUGUCAAAGAUGUAGAAGGAAGAGGCAUCUUCAGGCUCCUAAGCCUUUCACUUCUCUGUUCUGAUGCCUACACUAGUAUUCUUCAACUGUCCCUGUCACUCUGUGGAAAUCUUUCCUGCUUUACCUCCUGAAUCGCUUCAGGAGCCAAUGAGCUCUUGUGGCCCUAUCAGUUCAGUAGCAUCCAUUAAACUCCUUGUUUCUGUGUCCAUCUGUCGUGUAAUCAAAUAAUGGGAGACUGGUAGCCUCUGAAAACAAACAACAGUCGCCAAAGUUUUGCCUCUCUGAAAACCUCUGCAUUCUUCUCUGCUUGCCUCAUAGAUGCUAAAAUCUCUAUGGCAUCCUUGUGUUCAGAAACCAACUCUUCAUCUCUUGGUUCAGUCAGAAAAAUCUUUUAUGAAAACUGACCCAUAUUUUUCAGAGGAUUGUGGAGGUAGGGAAAGAGUUUGAGAAAGUGAGUAAGGAGGGGAGGAAGAUGGAGACUAGCUGUGGUUUCAUGCAGUUGGACUGCUUUCUUAAGGUCUUGAUCUUUCUCUUUGUAGCAAGGAUAGUGUUUUGAUGCUUUGUCUGGGGCAGCCUCCCUGGGUGAGUGCAGAUGUGCCGAGCCAUUUGGCUGCUGUGUGGACAGACUCAGUCUCUCUUUUCUCUAAUGAAGUCAUCUCUGCCUGCAGCCCAGCCUCUCCCAUCAGUCCAUGCUGGAACUUGGCUUUGGCCUGCAUAGUUCUGUUGUGAUGUAGAUGGCCUUCCAGUUAAGUUCUAGAGAAAUAUAUCCAGCCUUGCACAGAAAAGACAGCCUGAUCCACAACCCAGCAACAGAUACUGUCAUGUCUAGAAGCACUUCGUCCAGUCAACAACAGAACACUGAAAUGGGAUCCUAACAGACCUUGGCAAGAAGUAUGUAUGAAGAUAAUGGAAUUCCCUGGAGGCACACCUGCCACCUAUUUCUUUCUUCUGCUUCGAGUACUUGGGUGGCUGCCCUCAAGCUCAGCCAAGUUCCUUAAGGCUAGAUCAAGGAGAGGGAGCAAGGCAUAGUGCUUCGAGUUUUUAAUUUCUUGUAGACACCAAAGAUAUGAAUGAAUAUCUUUCUUUAUCUGCCUGAGAUCCUGGAGUUUAUAUAAGCAACAUUUCCUGUACAGCAGCAUAAUCUCAAGGCGUACUGACAGAAUGAGAUUUUAGUUACCAUUUUAUUUAGAUUUGAAUGUAAUAUAAGGUGAAUCUAUUAUUAGCAUUAAUAAUUGUAAAAUAAUAUUUCCUGCUUUAAGAGUUCUGGUAAUAUUGUCAGACAUUGGAGAAUCAUAAAUAAUUGCUUUCUAAUUUUCUCUAAAGGAAAAGGCCCUUCAAGAGCA